rnacentral:rRNA from 1 species
CAAUUUAAACAACGAAGAGUUUGAUCCUGGCUCAGGAUGAACGCUAGCGACAGGCUUAACGCAUGCAAGUCGAGGGGCAGCACAGGUAGCAAUACCGGGUGGCGACCGGCGCACGGGUGAGUAACGCGUAUGCAACUUACCUAUCAGAGGGGGAUAACCCGGCGAAAGUCGGACUAAUACCGCAUGAAGCAGGGGCCCCGCAUGGGGAUAUUUGCUAAAGAUUCAUCGCUGAUAGAUAGGCAUGCGUUCCAUUAGGCAGUUGGCGGGGUAACGGCCCACCAAACCGACGAUGGAUAGGGGUUCUGAGAGGAAGGUCCCCCACAUUGGUACUGAGACACGGACCAAACUCCUACGGGAGGCAGCAGUGAGGAAUAUUGGUCAAUGGGCGUAAGCCUGAACCAGCCAAGUCGCGUGAGGG